GGAGAGGUCGCAUAGUUUGGUCCAUUGCGGAGGUUCGCUAAACCUCUGAGCCGUAAGGCUCGCGCGAGUUCGAAUCUCGCCCUCUCCGCCA
rnacentral:tRNA from 1 species